UACGUAGGGUGCGAGCGUUGUCCGGAAUCAUUGGGCGUAAAGCGCGUGUAGGCGGUCCGGUAAGUCCGCUGUGAAAGUCGGGGGCUCAACCCUCGAAUGCCGGUGGAUACUGUCGGGCUAGAGUGCGGAAGAGGCGAGUGGAAUUCCUGGUGUAGCGGUGGAAUGCGCAGAUAUCAGGAGGAACACCGAUAGCGAAGGCAGCUCGCUGGGACGGGACUGACGCUGAGGCGCGAAAGCGUGGGGAGCGAACAGG
rnacentral:rRNA from 1 species